rnacentral:tRNA from 1 species
GCCUGGGUGGCUCAGUUAGUUGAGCCUCUGACUUUGGCUCAGGUCACGAUCUCACGGUCUGUGGGUUCAAGCCCCGCAUCGGGCU